rnacentral:rRNA from 1 species
GAUUGAACGUUGGCGGCAGGCCUCAUACAUGCAAGUCGAGCGGAAACGAUGGGAGCUUGCUCCCAGGCGUCGAGCGGCGGACGGGUGAGUAACGCGUAGGAAUCUACCCAGUAGCGGGGGAUAGCCCGAGGAAACUCGGAUUAAUACCGCAUACGCCCCACGGGGGAAAGGUCGGGACCUCUUCGGAGACCGAUCACUAUUGGAGGAGCCUGCGUUGGAUUAGCUAGUUGGUAGGGUAAAGGCCUACCAAGGCUACGAUCCAUAGCUGGUCUGAGAGGACGAUCAGCCACACUGGAACUGAGACACGGUCCAGACUCCUACGGGAGGCAGCAGUAGGGAAUAUUGUGCAAUGGGGGAAACCCUGACACAGCCAUGCCGCGUGUGUGAAGAAGGCUCUAGGGUUGUAAAGCACUUUCAGUAGGGAGGAAAAAGCCGUAGUUAAUACCUGCAAUUAGUGACGUUACCCGCAGAAGAAGCACCGGCUAAUUCAGUGCCAGCAGCCGCGGGAAUACUGAAGGUGCAAGCGUUAAUCGGAAUUACUGGGCGUAAAGCGCGCGUAGGCGGCUUGUUAAGCCAGAUGUGAAAGCCCCGGGCUCAACCUGGGAACUGCAUUUGGAACUGGCUCGCUAGAGUACAGUAGAGGGUGGUGGAAUUUCAGGUGUAGCGGUGAAAUGCGUAGAUAUCUGAAGGAACAUCAGUGGCGAAGGCGACUGUCUGGGCUGAUACUGACACUGAGGUGCGAAAGCGUGGGGAGCAAACGGGAUUAGAUACCCCGGUAGUCCACGCCGUAAACGAUGUCUACUAGCCGUUGGGGGACUUGAUCCCUUAGUGGCGCAGCUAACGCACUAAGUAGACCGCCUGGGGAGUACGGUCGCAAGAUUAAAACUCAAAUGAAUUGACGGGGGCCCGCACAAGCGGUGGAGCAUGUGGUUUAAUUCGAUGCAACGCGAAGAAACUUACCAGGUUUUGACAUCCUGAAAACUUUCUAGAGAUAGAUUGGUGCCUUCGGGGAUUCAGUGACAGGUGCUGCAUGGCUGUCGUCAGCUCGUGUCGUGAGAUGUUGGGUUAAGUCCCGUAACGAGCGCAACCCUUGUCCUUAGUUGCUAACAGGUUAAGCUGAGAACUUUAAGGAGACUGCCGGUGACAAACCGGAGGAAGGUGGGGACGACGUCAAGUCAUCAUGGCCCUUACGACCAGGGCUACACACGUGCUACAAUGGGUCGUACAGAGGGUUGCCAAGCCGCGAGGUGGAGCUAAUCCCACAAAACGUCUCGUAGUCCGGAUUGGAGUCUGCAACUCGACUCCAUGAAGUCGGAAUCGCUAGUAAUCGUGAAUCAGAAUGUCACGGUGAAUACGUUCCCGGGCCUUUUACACACCGC